rnacentral:rRNA from 1 species
UAGGGAAUAUUGGGCAAUGGAUGCAAGUCUGACCCAGCCAUGCCGCGUGCAGGAAGAAGGUCCUCUGGAUUGUAAACUGCUUUUAUCGGGGAAGAAUAGUUUUCUUGCGAGGGAAUGUGACGGUACCCGAUGAAUAAGCCACGGCUAACUACGUGCCAGCAGCCGCGGUAAUACGUAGGUGGCAAGCGUUGUCCGGAUUUAUUGGGUUUAAAGGGUGCGUAGGUGGUUUGAUAAGUCAGUGGUGAAAGCCGGUUGCUCAACAAUCGAGUUGCCAUUGAUACUGUCAGACUUGAGAGAAGUGGAGGUUCAUGGAAUGGAUGGUGUAGCGGUGAAAUGCAUAGAUAUCAUCCAGAACGUCGAUUGCGAAGGCAGUGGGCUGUACUUUUUCUGACACUGAGGCACGAAAGCGUGGGGAUCAAACAGG